UCAAGCGUGUACGCUAAAUAUGAAGUUCACUCGAGCAGACAUUAGCAUAGCUUAGCAUAAUGACUGGAAACGGCUAGCUUAGCUUAGCAUAAUGACUGGAAACAGCUAGCCUGACUCCGUCCAAAGGUAAACCUACCAGACAUGAGUGGUGAUGAUCUUUUUAUCCAAAAUGUCCAGAUAGAAAAUAAAAGUGUAUAUUUUGUCGGACCUUUCUGUGAUACAAGAGGAGAAUGCAACUGUAAUAACACUUCAUAAUAACUAUUAAUAAUUCAUAUAGUCCACUGGUUUAAUGAACUGGUUACUUCUUAUUCUUAAAACUGAUGUGUUAUGUUUUAAGAAUAAAAAGUAACCAGUUCAUUAAACCAGUGCACUAUAUGAAUUAUUAAUAGUUAUUAUGAAGUGUUAUUACAGUUACAUUCUCCUCUUGUAUCACAGAAAGGUCCGACAAAAUAUACACUUUUAUUUUCUAUCUGGACAUUUU